CAGUAGCCACGGGAAUACAGAGGUCUCAAGCGUUGUUCGGAUUCAUUGGGCGUAAAGGGUGCGUAGGUGGCGGUGUAAGUCUAACGUGAAAUCUCGGGGCUCAACCUCGAAAUUGCGUCGGAUACUGCAUUGCUAGAGGAUUGUAGAGGAGAGUGGAAUUCAUGGUGUAGCAGUGAAAUGCGUAGAUAUCAUGAGGAAGACCAGUUGCGAAGGCGACUCUCUGGGCAAUUCCUGACACUGAGGCACGAAGGCUAGGGGAGCAAACGGGAUUAGAUACCCGCGUAGUCCCUGUCUCUUAUAC
rnacentral:rRNA from 1 species